rnacentral:lncRNA from 1 species
CGACCUAUUAAGAUCGAGUUGAAUUGAGAUCCAUCUAGAUUGGGUGUAAUUGUGGGAUUUAUUCUGUGCCACCAAAAGAUUUUUUUUUUUUAUCGGAUCCGGAUCACGUGCUCAACCCGGGAACUGAAGAGCCAUGUCAGCAGCUUGGUGGUGGUACGGUGGUUCGCGGAGAAGAUUUGUGGGAGGGGGCGUCUACAAAGAUACAUUCACCUGCCUGCAUGUGGGACCCAUCGGCCCACCUCGCCGAGAACGCCACCGGCAUGUCUCACGUGUUCAUUCUUCGUAAAGCUCUGGAUUUUAUGCCAACUUUGAGAGAGUUUCUGUUUCCUGUUCUGCUUGACAACAUGUUCAUAUGUACCCGAGGAGUGGAGAGAGAAGCUAACCAGCAGGCCAGCAAUAAAUU